GAAGUCCGCCAGGCAGCCGCGGCACCGCAAGGUGUCGAGGAAAGUCCGGGCCCCAUAGAGCAGGAUGCCGGCUAACGGCCGGGCGCCGCGAGGCGACAGACAGUGCAACAGAAAGAUACCGCCGAUGGCUUCGCCUGACUUUGACGCCGCAAGACGGCAAAGUCCCUCUUGAGUGAGCAGGGCGGGGAUCAGGCAAGGGUGAAAUGGUGGCGUGGCGUGUGCCGUCGCGAAAGCGACGGUGCGAGACGCGCCGGGGCCGCGCAAGCGGUCACGAGGUAAGAGCUCACCGCGGACGUGGUAACACGGACGGCAUGGCAAACCUCAUCCGGGGCAAGGCCAAAUAGGGGAGCAUUGGCGUGGCUCGCGCUGCUCCCGGGUAGGCUGCUUGAGCCUGUCGGCAACGGCAGGCCCAGAGGAAUGGCUGCCAGGCUGUCGCAAGACAGUCCCACAGAACCCGGCUUAUCGGCGGACUUCCACU
rnacentral:RNase_P_RNA from 1 species